rnacentral:rRNA from 1 species
CCUACGGGAGGCAGCAGUGGGGAAUAUUGGACAAUGGGCGAAAGCCUGAUCCAGCCAUGCCGCGUGUGUGAAGAAGGUCUUCGGAUUGUAAAGCACUUUAAGUUGGGAGGAAGGGCAGUAAGCGAAUACCUUGCUGUUUUGACGUUACCGACAGAAUAAGCACCGGCUAACUCUGUGCCAGCAGCCGCGGUAAUACAGAGGGUGCAAGCGUUAAUCGGAAUUACUGGGCGUAAAGCGCGCGUAGGUGGUUUGUUAAGUUGAAUGUGAAAUCCCCGGGCUCAACCUGGGAACUGCAUCCAAAACUGGCAAGCUAGAGUAGGGCAGAGGGUGGUGGAAUUUCCUGUGUAGCGGUGAAAUGCGUAGAUAUAGGAAGGAACACCAGUGGCGAAGGCGACCACCUGGGCUCAUACUGACACUGAGGUGCGAAAGCGUGGGGGAGCAAACAGGAUUAGAUACCCUGGUAGUCCACGCCGUAAACGAUGUCAACUAGCCGUUUGGAAGCCUUGAGCUUUUAGUGGCCGNAGCUAACGCAUUAAGUUCGACCGCCGUGGGGGAAGUACCGGGCCGACGAAAGGUUAAAACCUCGAAAAGGGAAUUAGGACCCGGCGUUGAAGACCGUACGACCGAACGGACGACGACGAGGGAGGAGGG